GGGGGCGAAACGGCUUCGACGGGGAUAAAGAAGCUUUGGCUGCAUACCGAGCUUUCCUGUCCGCUCGUUAAACGACGGGAACUUAAACAUAAUCGCAGAUGAUUAUGAAUACGCCCUGGCCGCUUAAUUAGGCCAGCGUCCUACCGGGCAUUUCCUGCGGGCCCGGCAAGGGCGUCGACGAGCAGGAUAGCCGAUCCUGAUUUCCUGUUAAGGAGCGGUGAAACUUUAACGGGAUAGCCGCUUGCGAAUCCGGCCUGGAGGAGUCGCAAUGCGGUAAAAUUCAAAAUUCAGGCUAAGUAUGUAGAGGCUGAAGUGGAAUAUUUUCGGACGCGGGUUCGACUCCCGCCGCCUCCACCA
rnacentral:tmRNA from 1 species